rnacentral:rRNA from 1 species
UACAGAGGUGGCAAGCGUUGUUCGGAAUUACUGGGCGUAAAGCGUGCGCAGGCGGUUUUGUAAGCCAGAUGUGAAAUCCCCGGGCUUAACCUGGGAAUGGCAUUUGGGACUGCAAGGCUGGAGUUUGGCAGAGGAGACUGGAAUUCCUGGUGUAGCAGUGAAAUGCGUAGAUAUCAGGAGGAAUACCGAUGGCGAAGGCAGGUCUCUGGGCUAUAACUGACGCUCAUGCACGAAAGCGUGGGGAGCAAACAGG